GAAAUCACGCACUCGAGGCUUUUU
rnacentral:siRNA from 1 species